ensembl:lncRNA
CCUCACCUUCAUCCUGGGAAGCUGGGAUCUGGCCAUUUCUCCACCAACCCCCAUUGCUUGAGGACGGAUGCCCCAGAUACCACCUCCCGCACACAGCCGGGAAACUUCUGCGCAUGGCUGAGCCGCCUCGAUCAGAGAAAGCCUGGGCAGGGCUAGAAGAGCAAGGAGGUACCUGCAGUUUGUACCUGAAGUGAGACACCUGGAGCGUGGAUGCAGCUGUCCACCUCUGAAACCAGGUGUGCCAAAGGAGCCGGGCUCUGGGCACAGAGAGUGUCUGUGAACAGCACCUGCUCACACAGCGUCGGUGGAUUCCCGGGUGACCUGUACUGAAGUUUGCACCUUCUGAGGGGACGGUGCUGAAUGUUUACGUCCCCUCAAACUCAUAGGUUGAAACCUAACGCCUGAUGUGAUGGUGUUAGGAGGCGGGGCCUUUGGGAGGUGACGAGGUCAUGAGGGUGGGGCCCCCAUGAAUGGGAUUAGUGCCCUUAUAAAAGGGACCCCAGAGAGCUCCCUCCCCCCCUUUGCCAUGUGAGGACACAGCAAGAAGACAGCUGUCUGUGAACCAGGAAGCAGAUGCUCCCCAGACACCGAAUCUGCAGGCGGCUUGACCUUGGACUUCCAGCCUCCAGAACGAUGAGAAAUAAAUUUCUGUCCUUUAUGAGCCGCCUGGUUUGUGGUGUUCUGUUAAAACAGCCCAAACAGACUAAGAUGUGUGCAUAUGUUUCCUCUGCUUCUCACAACGACCUGGGAGGAAAACAGGCCAGACGUUAUCCCCUAAAAUGUCCAGUUAAGGAAAUGGAGGCAUCUAGAUGGUAACACGUCUUCUCUCUUGCAUUAAACUGCCUGGCUCCUCAUUCUACGCUGCCACCCACUAGAUCUGUAAGUUCAGGCAAAUUAUUUCAAGAUUCUGCUUUUCCAUUUUCUCAUCUGUCCAUUGUUCUAACAACAAAUAUCUAUUAAGCAUCCGUAUGUGUCAGGCUGCAUGCUAAGGGCUGGAAUACAGUAGUGAACAAGACAGACCUCCCCCUCCAGAAAAACCCCUCUCACUGGCCGGACUUUCUGCUGGAUGAAGAUAGACAAGACACAGAAGAAAUAUGGAAAAUGUUCGGCUGGCGUAACAGGGGAAUUGUCAUCUCCCAUUUUUACAAAUGAAGAAUGGAAAGCCGAGUGGCAGCCCAAGGUCACACAGCUAAUACAUGGUCAGAUCCAGCUGAGGACUCAGGCCUCCUGAAUGCUCAUCCAGUGAUCACCUUCCAAACGAUAGAUCAUAUUGUCUGCGAGGACCCCACUUCUUGAGAACAGUACUUCCCAGACAUUCUCUACCACAAGACCCCCAUUUCUGAAACCAAUCAGAAGUGGAGAAGGAAAAUGUUCCUGGCAUUUAGGAGACCAAGAGAAGAGACAGAGGGAAGCAGAAAGGAUAGCCAUGGAAAAUUCCAGAGCUUUGCAGGGGCAUGGAGGAUGUGACACUUUAAAAAUAUCGCAGCGUUGGCCUUGGCAAUGAUUCUGAGAAAAUGUCUUCCUGAGACUUCAGGCGUCUCCACGCAGGGGGCUGCCCAAGGAGACUUCGUCAAGAAGGAAUCACGCCACCAGCUAUGUUACAACGUGGAAUGCUGGGAGAACUUCCGUGCCCAGCCCUUACCUCCCGUGCAUCGAGCUGUGUACCCGCAUCUUCGCUUGGAUGGAGAAGCAGCUUUUCAAACCUGCAAGUGCAAAACAGCCCCCCAGUUCUCACCACCCCAUCCUGUUCCUCCUGAUGUCUUUCCAACUCGGUUAACACCACUGCCACCCACUCAGUGCUCCAGCAAAAAACCCAGCAGCCAUCCUUAAUUUCUCUCUCUCUCCCUUACCCCUAAAAUCCAAUGUAUCUCUUAGGUGCCAUCUGCUCUGCCUUCGAAAGCUGUCUCUAAUCUGUCCCUUUCUCUCCACCGCCACUGAUAAAACUCUAGAU